rnacentral:sRNA from 1 species
CUCGGUCAGACAAUCGGACUUCAGAUCAUCCCCGGGAAGAUGGGCCCAUUCACGCCGCCUCGCCGAGGCU